AAAACUCUGGAGAGCAGAAAUGCGCCGAAGGAGCAACCCCUGAAAGGGGGGAAUCUCUCAGGCUAGGAACAGAGGAC
rnacentral:ncRNA from 1 species